rnacentral:rRNA from 1 species
GUACACUCCUACGGGAGGCAGCAGUGGGGAAUAUUGGACAAUGGGCGCAAGCCUGAUCCAGCCAUGCCGCGUGAGUGAUGAAGGCCCUAGGGUUGUAAAGCUCUUUCACCGGUGAAGAUAAUGACGGUAACCGGAGAAGAAGCCCCGGCUAACUUCGUGCCAGCAGCCGCGGUAAUACGAAGGGGGCUAGCGUUGUUCGGAUUUACUGGGCGUAAAGCGCACGUAGGCGGACUAUUAAGUCAGGGGUGAAAUCCCGGGGCUCAACCCCGGAACUGCCUUUGAUACUGGUAGUCUUGAGUUCGAGAGAGGUGAGUGGAAUUCCGAGUGUAGAGGUGAAAUUCGUAGAUAUUCGGAGGAACACCAGUGGCGAAGGCGGCUCACUGGCUCGAUACUGACGCUGAGGUGCGAAAGCGUGGGGAGCAAACAGGAUUAGAUACCCCAGUAGUCCCAU